rnacentral:rRNA from 1 species
GAUGACGUCAAAUCAUCAUGCCCCUUAUGACCUGGGCUACACACGUGCUACAAUGGAUGGUACAAAGGGCUGCAAGACCGCGAGGUCAAGCCAAUCCCAUAAAACCAUUCUCAGUUCGGAUUGCAGGCUGCAACUCGCCUGCAUGAAGCCGGAAUCGCUAGUAAUCGCGGAUCAGCAUGCCGCGGUGAAUACGUUCCCGGGCCUUGUACACACCGCCCGUCACACCACGAGAGUUUGUAACACCCGAAGUCGGUGGGGUAACCGUAAGGAGCCAGCCGCCUAAGGUGGGACAGAUGAUUGGGGUGAAGUCGUAACAAGGUAGCCGUAUCGGAAGGUGCGGCUGGAUCACCUCCUUUCUAAGGA